UUGGUAUUCUUGAGUGUGAAAUCUAUUUGUCCAUAAAACAGGUACAGCCUGGGCAACAGUGGUACAAACUUCUCACAUUGUCUCAUCAACGUGCCAUCACUUUGUAUUUGAGAGACCACUGCUAGGGAUGCCUAGCCAGUCCUUGGCUGUGGCCACUAAUUUGCUAAA
ensembl:misc_RNA